rnacentral:rRNA from 1 species
AAUAGAUACCCUGGUAGUCCACGCCGUAAACGAUGAGUGCUAAGUGUUAGAGGGUUUCCGCCCUUUAGUGCUGCAGCUAACGCAUUAAGCACUCCGCCUGGGGAGUACGGUCGCAAGACUGAAACUCAAAGGAAUUGACGGGGGGCCCGCACAAGCGGUGGAGCAUGUGGUUUAAUUCGAAGCAACGCGAAGAACCUUACCAGGUCUUGACAUCCCACUGACCGGUAUAGAGAUAUACCUUUCCCUUCGGGGACAGUGGUGACAGGUGGUGCAUGGUUGUCGUCAGCUCGUGUCGUGAGAUGUUGGGUUAAGUCCCGCAACGAGCGCAACCCUUGAUCUUAGUUGCCAGCAUUUAGUUGGGCACUCUAAGGUGACUGCCGGUGACAAACCGGAGGAAGGUGGGGAUGACGUCAAAUCAUCAUGCCCCUUAUGACCUGGGCUACACACGUGCUACAAUGGAUGGUACAAAGGGCUGCAAGACUGCGAAGUCAAGCCAAUCCCAUAAAACCAUUCUCAGUUCGGAUUGC